rnacentral:rRNA from 1 species
GAUGAACGCUGGCGGCGUGCCUAAUACAUGCAAGUCGAGCGAACAGACGAGGAGCUUGCUCCUCUGACGUUAGCGGCGGACGGGUGAGUAACACGUGGAUAACCUACCUAUAAGACUGGGAUAACUUCGGGAAACCGGAGCUAAUACCGGAUAAUAUAUUGAACCGCAUGGUUCAAUAGUGAAAGACGGUUUUGCUGUCACUUAUAGAUGGAUCCGCGCCGCAUUAGCUAGUUGGUAAGGUAACGGCUUACCAAGGCAACGAUGCGUAGCCGACCUGAGAGGGUGAACGGCCACACUGGAACUGAGACACGGUCCAGGCUCCUACGGGAGGCAGCGGUAGGGAAUCUUCCGCGAUGGGCGGAAGCCUGACGGAGCAACGCCGCGCGGGUGAUGAAGGUCUUCGGAUCGUAAAACUCUGUUAUUAGGGAAGAACAAAUGUGUAAGUAACUAUGCACGUCUUGACGGUACCUAAUCAGAAAGCCACGGCUAACUACGUG